rnacentral:sRNA from 1 species
UUUAUACAACACUUAAACACACAGUAUUGGAUAGGUUUAUACAACACUAAAAUACACAAUAGGAUAGGUUUAUACAACACUUAAAUACAGUAUGGGAUAGGUUUAUACAACACUUAAACACAGUAUUGGAUAGGUUUAUACAAAACUUAAAUACACAAUAGGAUAGGUUUAUACAACACUUAAAUACACAAUAGGAUAGGUUUAUACAACACUUAAACACAGUAUUGGAUAGGUUUAUACAACACUUAAACACAGUAUUGGAUAGGUUUAUACAACACUUAAAUACACAAUAGGAUAGGUUU